rnacentral:tRNA from 1 species
GGUGUUAUAGCUCAGUGGUAGAGCACCCACCUCGCAUGUGUGAGGCACUGGGUUCUGAGCUCAGCACCA